GAUAAGCUGCGUUAAGGAUAGAAGCGGUAUCCUUUUUUUGCUUGGUAAUGCAAGAAAAGAUAAAGCAGAUAGCCUGUUAAAAC
rnacentral:sRNA from 1 species